UGAGCUCAAAUUUAAAAUCUGGCGUCUUUCAGGCGUCCGAGUUGUAAUCUAUAGAGGCGUUUUCCGCGCCGGACCGCGUCCAAGUCUCUUGGAAUAGAGUAUCAAAGAGGGUGACAAUCCCGUACUUGACGCGACAACCGGUGCUCUGUGAUACGUUCUCAAUGAGUCGAGUUGUUUGGGAAUGCAGCUCUAAAUGGGUGGUAAAUUCCAUCUAAGGCUAAAUAUUGGCGAGAGACCGAUAGCGAACAAGUACCGUGAGGGAAAGAUGAAAAGCACUUUGGAAAGAGAGUUAAACAGCACGUGAAAUUGUUAAAAGGGAAACGAUUGAAGUCAGUCGUGUGAAAGGUAUUCAGCCGUCUCUGGCGGUGUAUUUGCCUUUCACGGGUCAACAUCAGUUUGAUCCGGUAGAAAAAGGCGGGAGGAAGGUGGCACCCUCGGGUGUGUUAUAGCCUCCUGUCAUAUGUGCCGGACCAGACUGAGGAACGCAGCUUGCCGCAAGGCCGGGGUUCGCCCACGUACAAGCUUAGGAUG
rnacentral:rRNA from 1 species